rnacentral:tRNA from 1 species
AAAAUCCGUCGACUUUAAAAAUCGUGAGGGUUCAAGUCCCUCUAUCCCCAAAAAGGGCCUUUAUCCUAUCCC